rnacentral:rRNA from 1 species
GACGAACGCUGGCGGCGUGCUUAACACAUGCAAGUCGAACGGAAAGGCCCCUUUGGGGGUCCUCGAGUGGCGAACGGGUGAGUAACACGUGAGUAACCUGCCCUUGACUUCGGGAUAACUUCAGGAAACUGGGGCUAAUACCGGCUAGGAAUCCUUGCUGCAUGGUGGGGGUUGGAAAGCUUCGGCGGUUUUGGAUGGACUCGCGGCUUAUCAGCUUGUUGGUGGGGUAGUGGCUUACCAAGGCUUUGACGGGUAGCCGGCCUGAGAGGGCGACCGGCCACAUUGGGACUGAGAUACGGCCCAGACUCCUACGGGAGGCAGCAGGGGGGAAUAUUGCACAAUGGGCGGAAGCCUGAUGCAGCAACGCCGCGGGCGGGAUGACGGCCUUCGGGUUGUAAACCGCUUUCAGCAGGGGCGAAGCUUGUGGUGACGGUACCUGCAGAAGAAGCACCGGCUAACUACGUG